GGGACUGUAGCUCAGUGGUAGAGCACCAGCCUCACAAGUAUGAGGCACUGGGUUUGAUCCUCAGCACCA
rnacentral:tRNA from 1 species